rfam:Aedes albopictus isolate Foshan contig11842, whole genome shotgun sequence.
UAGCCUAGUGGUUAAGGCUAUGGAUCACCAAUCCGGAGACGGCGGGUUCGAUUCCCGU